rnacentral:rRNA from 2 species
UCAUGCAAGUCGAACGAACUCUGGUAUUGAUUGGUGCUUGCAUCAUGAUUUACAUUUGAGUGAGUGGCGAACUGGUGAGUAACACGUGGGAAACCUGCCCAGAAGCGGGGGAUAACACCUGGAAACAGAUGCUAAUACCGCAUAACAACUUGGACCGCAUGGUCCGAGUUUGAAAGAUGGCUUCGGCUAUCACUUUUGGAUGGUCCCGCGGCGUAUUAGCUAGAUGGUGGGGUAACGGCUCACCAUGGCAAUGAUACGUAGCCGACCUGAGAGGGUAAUCGGCCACAUUGGGACUGAGACACGGCCCAAACUCCUACGGGAGGCAGCAGUAGGGAAUCUUCCACAAUGGACGAAAGUCUGAUGGAGCAACGCCGCGUGAGUGAAGAAGGGUUUCGGCUCGUAAAACUCUGUUGUUAAAGAAGAACAUAUCUGAGAGUAACUGUUCAGGUAUUGACGGUAUUUAACCAGAAAGCCACGGCUAACUACGUGCCAGCAGCCGCGGUAAUACGUAGGUGGCAAGCGUUGUCCGGAUUUAUUGGGCGUAAAGCGAGCGCAGGCGGUUUUUUAAGUCUGAUGUGAAAGCCUUCGGCUCAACCGAAGAAGUGCAUCGGAAACUGGGAAACUUGAGUGCAGAAGAGGACAGUGGAACUCCAUGUGUAGCGGUGAAAUGCGUAGAUAUAUGGAAGAACACCAGUGGCGAAGGCGGCUGUCUGGUCUGUAACUGACGCUGAGGCUCGAAAGUAUGGGUAGCAAACAGGAUUAGAUACCCUGGUAGUCCAUACCGUAAACGAUGAAUGCUAAGUGUUGGAGGGUUUCCGCCCUUCAGUGCUGCAGCUAACGCAUUAAGCAUUCCGCCUGGGGAGUACGGCCGCAAGGCUGAAACUCAAAGGAAUUGACGGGGGCCCGCACAAGCGGUGGAGCAUGUGGUUUAAUUCGAAGCUACGCGAAGAACCUUACCAGGUCUUGACAUACUAUGCAAAUCUAAGAGAUUAGACGUUCCCUUCGGGGACAUGGAUACAGGUGGUGCAUGGUUGUCGUCAGCUCGUGUCGUGAGAUGUUGGGUUAAGUCCCGCAACGAGCGCAACCCUUAUUAUCAGUUGCCAGCAUUAAGUUGGGCACUCUGGUGAGACUGCCGGUGACAAACCGGAGGAAGGUGGGGAUGACGUCAAAUCAUCAUGCCCCUUAUGACCUGGGCUACACACGUGCUACAAUGGAUGGUACAACGAGUUGCGAACUCGCGAGAGUAAGCUAAUCUCUUAAAGCCAUUCUCAGUUCGGAUUGUAGGCUGCAACUCGCCUACAUGAAGUCGGAAUCGCUAGUAAUCGCGGAUCAGC